AGAGUUUGAUCCUGGCUCAGGACGAACGCUGGCGGCGUGCCUAAUACAUGCAAGUCGAGCGAGCUGAAUUCAAAGAUUCCUUCGGGAUGAUUUGUUGGACGCUAGCGGCGGAUGGGUGAGUAACACGUGGGCAAUCUGCCCUAAAGACUGGGAUACCACUUGGAAACAGGUGCUAAUACCGGAUAACAACAUGAAUCGCAUGAUUCAAGUUUGAAAGGCGGCGUAAGCUGUCACUUUAGGAUGAGCCCGCGGCGCAUUAGCUAGUUGGUGGGGUAAAGGCCUACCAAGGCAAUGAUGCGUAGCCGAGUUGAGAGACUGAUCGGCCACAUUGGGACUGAGACACGGCCCAAACUCCUACGGGAGGCAGCAGUAGGGAAUCUUCCACAAUGGACGCAAGUCUGAUGGAGCAACGCCGCGUGAGUGAAGAAGGUUUUCGGAUCGUAAAGCUCUGUUGUUGGUGAAGAAGGAUAGAGGCAGUAACUGGUCUUUAUUUGACGGUAAUCAACCAGAAAGUCACGGCUAACUACGUGCCAGCAGCCGCGGUAAUACGUAGGUGGCAAGCGUUGUCCGGAUUUAUUGGGCGUAAAGCGAGCGCAGGCGGAAUGAUAAGUCUGAUGUGAAAGCCCACGGCUCAACCGUGGAACUGCAUCGGAAACUGUCAUUCUUGAGUGCAGAAGAGGAGAGUGGAAUUCCAUGUGUAGCGGUGGAAUGCGUAGAUAUAUGGAAGAACACCAGUGGCGAAGGCGGCUCUCUGGUCUGCAACUGACGCUGAGGCUCGAAAGCAUGGGUAGCGAACAGGAUUAGAUACCCUGGUAGUCCAUGCCGUAAACGAUGAGCGCUAGGUGUUGGGGACUUUCCGGUUCUCAGUGCCGCAGCAAACGCAUUAAGCGCUCCGCCUGGGGAGUACGACCGCAAGGUUGAAACUCAAAGGAAUUGACGGGGGCCCGCAC
rnacentral:rRNA from 1 species